rnacentral:lncRNA from 1 species
AAGCAUGUAUAUCUAAAAAGUCUAACCUAGCAUCCACAAAUAAGGAAAUCUGUGCUGUUAUUCUCUCCAGGUCAUGGUAACUUUGUUCAAAAUAAUUUUUCCAGUUUUUUCCUUUUAAAUCUGAGUUUCAUAUUUUCCACUUUUAUUUUACAGUGAAACAAUAGUCAUUUGUGCAUAUGAACUGCAUUUUUAUUAUCUGUUAUCUGUUCAUUUAGUAAUGGUCAUCUAGUCUGUUUCCUACCCAUUGUGGCAACAAUGUACAUGGAUGAGUCUUUUGAGUAGAUCCUAGAUUAGUUUCUAGCUUUUUUUGAAUACCCUCUACCCUGAUUUUCAUAGUAGCUAUACCAGUUUGUAUAUUCCAUCAUCAUUUCUCUUUACCUGUACCCACCCAGCAUUUGAUGUCUCCUUAAAGUUUUAUCCUAUGCUUUCUGAUUUAGAUUAAGAUUAAAUCUGAAAGUACUAAUUAUCAUUUCCCCUGCUAGCUAAGCAUGUUGAACACUGAGAAGAAAUAUAUUUUGGCCACAUGUAUUUAUUGUUUUUAGAAGUCUCAUUAACUUCAUGCCCUAUAAUCUUUGCCCUUCUUUUUCUUCCUAAUUUUUAUUAUUUUAAGUAAUUUUAGAUUUAAAUAUAUUUUGAACAUGUUCUUCCCAUUUCCCAAUUCCUUCCAGAUUCUUUACCCUUCCAUAUCCAUCCAACUUUAAGAUGUUCCUAACCAAACAAAAACACAAUACAAAACAAAACCCCUAAAACCAAGAAAUCAAAAUAUAACCCCCUACUCAAACAAACAAUAACAGAACCAAAUUGUAGCCAAAUAAGAGCAUAGAGACAAAACUGUGUAGUGCAUUAUAUAUUGGUCAACUACUAUUCAAGAUGAGAGAGACCUUUUCAUUACUAUUUAUAAACCCAGUGCCACUCUGUUGGACAAAACUGAUUUUUUUUCUCUUCCAGAAUUUACUAGUGACAGUUCAUUUGUUACUCUUUACCUUGGGGGUAGAUAGGUAUUCAUUCAUUCUUCUUGUAAAAAAAAUGUAAGAAAAUUAAGUAUAGUAAGCUAAAAUAAGAACUAUUACAUCAAAGUUGGACAAGGCCAUCCAACAGAAGGGAAAAAUCCAAAGAAAAGGCAUAAGAUUCUGAAAUCCACUCUUUCCCACAUUCAGGACUUCCAUAAAAACACUAAACUGGAAACCAUAAUACAUACACAGAGAAUGCCUGCAUGUAAAAGAAUCCAAAUAAAUUCAUGUCCUAAUUUUUACUUGUCUGAUUUUCUUAAUGUUUAGUUAUCUGAGUUCUUUGUGUAUUUAGCUGAUAAAGUAUUUUCUCAUUCUGAACCUGCCUUUUCAUGCAAAUAAUGGUGUUCUAUGCUGUAUGACUGUAAGUCUCAUGCAGUAUUAUUUGUCAGUUGUUGUCUCAGUGCUUGUUCAGUAAGGUCCUGUUCAAAUAGUUCUUGUAUAUUUUCUAUUGCUUUUUCUAUCCAGUUCAAGUUUGGGGAUGUUACUUUGAGUUUCCUGAUUCAUUUGAAGUUGAGUCUUAUACAGGUUGAGAGAUAAGGACUGAAUUUCAUUCUUUCUUCUACAGGAGCUGUCCAGUUUGACUAGCACCACUUGUUGAAAAUGAUACCUUUUCUCCAGUGUGUAUGUCGAAUGUUAAAUGUUUGCACAUUUUUUUGUCGUUUCUGGGUUCUUGAAGAACCAUUAUCCUUUUUAUGGUUCUCUCCAAGUCAAUGUGUCAAGGGU